CUCCGGUUGAUCCCGCCCGACCCGACUGCUAUCGGAUUGAGAUUUAGCCAUGCGAGUCGAACGUCCCCCUGUUGCGGGGGGCGUGGCGUACGGCUCAGUAACACGUAGUCAACCUGCCCUGGAGACAAGGACAACCCCGGGAAACUGGGAUUAAUCCUUGAUAGGUCAUCUCAUCUGGAAGGAGAGAUGGCUUAAAGGGGUACGCGGGCUUCUUCCGCGAAUCUGCUCCAGGAUGGGACUGCGUCCGAUCAGGCUGUUGGCGGGGUAAUGGCCCACCAAACCUGUAACCGGUACGGGCCUUGAGAGAGGUGGCCCGGAGAUGGACACUGAGAGAAGGGUCCAGGUCCUACGGGGCGCAGCAGGCGCGAAACCUUCGCAAUGCGCGAAAGCGUGACGAGGUUAAUCCGAGUGACUCCCGCUGAGGGGGUCUUUUGUCAGCUGUAAAUAGGCAGGCGAAUAAGGGGAGGGCAAGCCUGGUGUCAGCCGCCGCGGUAAUACCAGCUCCUCGAGUGGUCGGGGCGAUUAUUGGGCCUAAAGCAUCCGUAGCCGGUUCCGUAGGUCCUCUGUUAAAUCCAACCGCUUAACGGUUGACCUGCAGAGGAUACCGCGGGACUAGGAGGCGGGAGAGGCGGACGGUACUCCGCGUGUAGGGGUAAAAUCCUUUGAUCCGCGGAAGACCACCAGUGGCGAAGGCGGUCCGCCAGAACGCGCUCGACGGUGAGGGAUGAAAGCUGGGGGAGCGAACCGGAUUAGAUACCCGGGUAGUCCCAGCCGUAAACGAUGCUAGCUAGAUGAUUCAUUCGCAAGUCGCGAAUGAAGUGUCGCAGGGAAGCCGUUAAGCUAGCCGCCUGGGGAGUACGGUCGCAAGACUGAAACUUAAAGAAAUUGGCGGGGGAGCA
rnacentral:rRNA from 1 species